rnacentral:ncRNA from 2 species
AUCAUCAAGAGUGGUGGAGGGAACUGCCCUGUGAAGCCCGACAACCUGCCGGAACAACGGCAAGGUGUUAAAUCAGCGAAGUAAUUUCGGAGAUGAG